AUUGUUUAUGUUACAGAAUAGUGUGGCUGUAACCAACAAUUGCCAGCACACGUACUCAAAGUUGYUAGAUGUGGUAUUCAUACGCAGACUAUGUUUAUGUCCUUUUACAAUCAAGACUAAAACAAUGCCUCCACAAGGAUCAUAUGUGAGAGCCGUCUGUUUUCUCAGAAAUAGUUCUGUUCCUAUUCGGAGAUGCAGUCGACACAUGACUCAUGAAUUUC